rnacentral:rRNA from 1 species
CUCAACGACCGUACCGCAAACCGACACUGGUGCGCGAGAUGAGUAUUCUAAGGCGCUUGAGAGAACUCAGGAGAAGGAACUCGGCAAAUUGACACCGUAACUUCGGAAGAAGGUGUGCCCUAUUAGUGUGAAGUGAACAACGGAGCAUGAAUGGGUUGCAAAAAAUCGGUGGCUGCGACUGUUUAUUAAAAACACAGCACUCUGCAAACACGAAAGUGGACGUAUAGGGUGUGACGCCUGCCCGGUGCUGGAAGAUUAAAUGAUGGGGUGCAAGCUCUUGAUUGAAGUCCCAGUAAACGGCGGCCGUAACAAUAACGGUCCUAAGGUAGCGAAAUUCCUUGUCGGGUAAGUUCCGACCUGCACGAAUGGCGUAACGAUGGCCACACUGUCUCCUCCUGAGACUCAGCGAAGUUGAAAUGUUUGUGAUGAUGCAAUCUCCCCGCGGAAAGACGGAAAGACCCCAUGAACCUUUACUGUAGCUUUGUAUUGGACUUUGAACAGAUCUGUGUAGGAUAGGUGGGAGGCUUUGAAGCAGGGUCGCUAGAUCUUGUGGAGCCAACGUUGAAAUACCACCCUGGUGUGUUUGAGGUUCUAACCUAGGUCCAUUAUCUGGAUCGGGGACAGUGCAUGGUAGGCAGUUUGACUGGGGCGGUCUCCUCCCAAAGCGUAACGGAGGAGUUCGAAGGUACGCUAGUUACGGUCGGACAUCGUGACGAUAGUGCAAUGGCAUAAGCGUGCUUAACUGCGAGACUGACAAGUCGAGCAGAUGCGAAAGCAGGACAUAGUGAUCCGGUGGUUCUGUAUGGAAGGGCCAUCGCUCAACGGAUAAAAGGUACUCUGGGGAUAACAGGCUGAUACCGCCCAAGAGUUCAUAUCGACGGCGGUGUUUGGCACCUCGAUGUCGGCUCAUCUCAUCCUGGGGCUGUAGCCGGUCCCAAGGGUAUGGCUGUUCGCCAUUUAAAGAGGUACGUGAGCUGGGUUUAAAACGUCGUGAGACAGUUUGGUCCCUAUCUUCCGUGGGCGCUGCAGAUUUGAGGAAGCCUGCUCCUAGUACGAGAGGACCGGAGUGGACACACCUCUGGUGUAUCGGUUGUCACGCCAGUGGCAUUGCCGAGUAGCUAAGUGUGGAAGAGAUAACCGCUGAAAGCAUCUAAGCGGGAAACUCGUUUCAAGAUGAGAUCUGCCGGGGCCUUGAGCCCCCUGAAGAGUCGUUCAAGACCAGGACGUUGAUAGGUCAGGUGUGGAAGCGCAGUAAUGCGUUAAGCUAACUGAUACUAAUUGCUCGUGCGGCUUGACCGA